rnacentral:rRNA from 1 species
GACGAACGCUGGCGGCGUGCUUAACACAUGCAAGUCGAACGGAAAGGCCCUGCUUGCAGGGUACUCGAGUGGCGAACGGGUGAGUAACACGUGGGUGAUCUGCCCUGCACUUCGGGAUAAGCCUGGGAAACUGGGUCUAAUACCGGAUAGGAGCCAUUUUUAGUGUGAUGGUUGGAAAGUUUUUUCGGUGUAGGAUGAGCUCGCGGCCUAUCAGCUUGUUGGUGGGGUAAUGGCCUACCAAGGCGGCGACGGGUAGCCGGCCUGAGAGGGUGGACGGCCACAGUGGGACUGAGAUACGGCCCAGACUCCUACGGGAGGCAGCAGUGGGGAAUAUUGCACAAUGGGCGCAAGCCUGAUGCAGCGACGCCGCGUGGGGGAUGACGGCCUUCGUGUUGUAAACUCCUUUCGCUAGGGACAAAGCUUUUUGUGACGGUACCUAGAUAAGAAGCACCGGCUAACUACGUG